AUGAUAGUGUUGCAUGAAUUGGCAUUCUCAUUGGUGGAGUACGAUGGAUUUAGAAGAUUUGUCUCUAGUCUAAAUCCUAGCUUUAAGAUGAUAUGUAGAAAAACAAUGAAGGAGGACUGCAUGAAAGCAUUUAAGGAAGAGAAGAGAAUUCUGCAAAGGAUGUUCCAAAACUCCAAAUCCAAGAUUUCUUUGACUAUGGACCUAUGGACAUCAAAUCAGACAGUGGGGUACAUUUGCAUCACAGCCCACUUCAUUGAUGAGGAGUGGAAGCCACAGAAGAGGAUAAUGAAAUUCGCAGCUAUGGAGACGCCGCACACAGGAGCUGCAAUGUUCAACAUCAUGGUGAAUUUCAUAAGAGUGGAAUAUUGA
rnacentral:rRNA from 1 species